rnacentral:sRNA from 1 species
GCCAGAUGCAGUGAUGCACACCUGUAAUCCCAGGGUCUCAGGAGGCAGAGGCAGGGGAAUCACAAGCUUGAGGCCAAUGUGAGCAACACAGUGAGACACUGUCUCUC